GUCCAAGACGGAGGGCUCCGCGGGGCAGGCGGAAGCCAAACGCAAAAUGUGGAAAUUAAAAAGCUUUGGUAGUUUAAGAAAUAUUUAUAAAACAGAGGAGGAGAACUUUGAGUUCCUGAUCGUGUCCAGCACGGGGCAGACGUGGCACUUUGAGGCCGGCAGCUUCGAGGAGCGCGACGCCUGGGUGCAGGCCAUCGAGAGCCAGAUCCUGGCCAGCCUGCAGUGCUGCGAGAGCAGCAAGAACAAGGUA